rnacentral:rRNA from 1 species
UACGUAGGAGGCAAGCGUUGUCCGGAGUUACUGGGCGUAAAGCGUACGCAGGCGGUCCAAUCAGUCUAUAGGGACAGGGCACAGCUUAACUGUGUCAGGCUUAUGGAAACUGUUGGACUUGAGGGCUUCAGAGGGAUGGGGAAUUCCGGGUGGAGUGGUGAAAUGCGUAGAGAUCCGGAAGAACACCAAAGGCGUAGGCACCAUCCGUGGGGAGUCACUGACGCUCAUGUACGAAAGCUAGGGGAGCGAACGGG